rnacentral:rRNA from 1 species
CCUACGGGUGGCAGCAGUGAGGAAUAUUGGUCAAUGGACGAGAGUCUGAACCAGCCAAGUAGCGUGAAGGAUGACUGCCCUAUGGGUUGUAAACUUCUUUUAUAAAGGAAUAAAACGAGGCACGUGUGCCUUUUUGCAUGUACUUUAUGAAUAAGGAUCGGCUAACUCCGUGCCAGCAGCCGCGGUAAUACGGAGGAUCCGAGCGUUAUCCGGAUUUAUUGGGUUUAAAGGGAGCGUAGGUGGAUUGUUAAGUCAGUUGUAAAAGUUUGCGGCUCAACCGUAAAAUUGCAGUUGAAACUGGCAGUCUUGAGUACAGUAGAGGUGGGCGGAAUUCGUGGUGUAGCGGUGAAAUGCUUAGAUAUCACGAAGAACUCCGAUUGCGAAGGCAGUUCACUGGACUGCAACUGACACUGAGGCUCGAAAGUGUGGGUAUCAAACAGGAUUAGAUACCCCUGUAGUC